rnacentral:rRNA from 1 species
CCAGACUCCUACGGGAGGCAGCAGUGAGGAAUAUUGGUCAAUGGGCGGAAGCCUGAACCAGCCAAGUCGCGUGAGGGAAGAAGGCCCUGCGGGUCGCAGACCUCUUUGGACGGGGAGCAAGGCCGCCGACGUGUCGGCGGAAGGAGAGUACCCGUAGAACAAGCAUCGGCUAACUCCGUGCCAGCAGCCGCGGUAAUACGGAGGAUGCGAGCGUUAUCCGGAUUUAUUGGGUUUAAAGGGUGCGUAGGCGGGCUUUUAAGUCAGCGGUAAAAAUUCAGGGCUCAACCCUGUCGAGCCGUCGGAACUGGCAGCCUUGAGUGGGCGAGAAGUAUGCGGAAUGCGUGGUGUAGCGGUGAAAUGCAUAGAUAUCACGCAGAACGCCGAUUGCGAAGGCAGCAUACCGGCGCCCGACUGACGCUGAGGCACGAAAGCGUGGGGAUCGAACAGGAUUAGAUACCCUGGUA